rnacentral:rRNA from 1 species
AGAUUGAACGCUGGCGGCGUGCUUAACACAUGCAAGUCGAGCGGUAACAGGUGUAGCAAUACAUGCUGACGAGCGGCGAACGGGUGAGUAAUGCUUCGGAAUCUACCUAGUAGUGGGGAACAACUAACCGAAAGGUUAGCUAAUGCCGCAUACGACCUAUGGGUGAAAGCGGGGGAUCGCAAGACCUCGCGCUAUUAGAUGAGCCGAAGUCGGAUUAGCUAGUUGGUAGGGUAAUGGCCUACCGAAGGCGACGACGGGUA